GGAACUAGCGGGCUUGAAGUAGCUCCCCAGGGGCCUCAGGUCUUAGCUUCAGCCACAAGCCCAGUUUUCUGCUGUUGGUAAGAGCAGCCCUACAUGUGGUCUGAGAGCUUGUGUGCUUUGCACAUCACUGACUGGAGGCUGGACCAGGUGUUCUCUGGGAAAAAAAAAGACCGAGCCGUGCCUUCAAGGAGCUGCUGCUUAGGGAGCCAAAGGUUGUCAUGCAGAGGUCCUGAAGAAGAUAUGACAGCAAACGAGGAAGGAAGAAGGAAAUAGGAAUAGGAAAGAUGGAUGGGUUGACCGAGACGAAGCCAGAGACACAAAAAGGAAAUGAAUACCCCACGGUCACAAGAAACCAAAGAUGAGAUAUACGGUGACAUUAUCAGAAGGCAGAGAAUGGAAGACAAAAGACAACUUAAGCCAUUUUCUGGUCUGUUAAGUCACCCUGGCAGCACAAUGCGUUGGGAAAUGAUGUCUGCCUGUGAUCAUUGUUUACUUAGAAAGCUGGCUGACAUGAGCCGAAAUUAACACAAUAGGAUGGAAAAUUGCUAAUAAAACAAAAAUCCCUGCCGUUAGAUUUUCAUAGCCUAAUUAUUCAGCACGUUACUCACUAAUGGCACGAGACAUUACCAUGCUAAUGUGUCGCCCGCAUAUGUUGAGGAGGAAGGGUGGGAGGGACUUUGACUCUGGGCAAAUGGAGAAAUCCCACAUUCCCAGAUGGAGGACUGGUGAGAUGGGUGGGGUACCAGUGGCUAAGGAAGCAGGGAGUCAUGGACUUCUCUAGGCCCGCACAGGAAUUAAAGCCCUGGGGGUUGUUCGUUUGCUUUCAUCAAAGCCCUACAGGCCCUUCUGCAACCCAAGCUGCUCUCUGCAUCUACCAUGUGUCUUAUCUGUCUGUGGCUCACAUAGCUGGCCAGGAUUAAGAUUUGAGUGCAGAGAAGAAGCAAAAGCUAUGUCCAGGCGCUCCUCCUGACAGCAGGAACCUGGCUUUGUUUACUUCUUCACCUGGCAUAGCCUGAUCACUCUCUGGCUUAAGUCACACACUGUUAAUUUAUUCUUGUUCUUGCUUUUAUUGUAAAUCUGUUCUCUUUUACUAACAGACAUUCUUAUUUAUCCUAGACAAA
rnacentral:lncRNA from 1 species